AACGAACGCUGGCGGCAUGCCUAACACAUGCAAGUCGAACGAGACCUUCGGGUCUAGUGGCGCACGGGUGCGUAACGCGUGGGAACCUGCCCUUAGGUUCGGAAUAACUCCCCGAAAGGGGUGCUAAUACCGGAUAAUGUCUUCGGACCAAAGAUUUAUCGCCUUUGGAUGGGCCCGCGUUGGAUUAGCUGGUUGGUAGGGUAAAAGCCUACCAAGGCGACGAUCCAUAGCUGGUCGGAGAGGAUGAUCAGCCACACUGGGACUGAGACACGGCCCAGACUCCUACGGGAGGCAGCAGUGGGGAAUAUUGGACAAUGGGCGAAAGCCUGAUCCAGCAAUGCCGCGUGAGUGAUGAAGGCCUUAGGGUUGUAAAGCUCUUUUACCCGGGAUGAUAAUGACAGUACCGGGAGAAUAAGCGCCGGCUAACUCCGUG
rnacentral:rRNA from 1 species